UGUUAAAAUUUCAUCCAUUUCUACUGUUAAAAAUUGACAUUGCUAAUAAAAUAACCAGAUAGUUACACAUGAUAUGUCAUGUGUACCUCAUUCUGACAUACAAAGGCCAAAUUUUAACAGUAGAUAUGGAUGAAAAUUUUAACA
rfam:Gossypium hirsutum cultivar TM-1 unplaced genomic scaffold scaffold1428.1, whole genome shotgun sequence